AUUGAACGCUGGCGGCAGGCCUAACACAUGCAAGUCGAGCGAGUGGCGGACGGGUGAGUAAUGUCUGGGGAACUGCCUGAUAGAGGGGGAUAACUACUGGAAACGGUAGCUAAUACCGCAUACCAUCAGAUGUACCCAGAUGGGAUUAGCUUGUUGGUGGGGUAAAGGCUCACCAAGGCGACGAUCCCUAGCUGGUCUGAGAGGAUGACCAGCCACACUGGAACUGAGACACGGCCCAGACUCCUACGGGAGGCAGCAGUGGGGAAUAUUGCACAAUGGGCGCAAGCCUGAUACAGCCAUGCCGCGUGUAUGAAGAAGGCCUUCGGGUUGUAAAGUACUUUCAGCGGGGAGGCGUUACCCGCAGAAGAAGCACCGGCUAACUCCGUGCCAGCAGCCGCGGUAAUUC
rnacentral:rRNA from 1 species